rnacentral:rRNA from 1 species
AAUUCGCCCUUGAGCACGUAGGUGGGUUUGUAAGUCAGAUGUGAAAGCCUUCUGUUCAACGGAAGAAUUGCAUCUGAAACUACAAGUCUUGAGUGUAGGAGGGGAGAAUGGAACUUCUGGUGGAGCGGUGAAAUCCGUAGAUAUCAGAAGGAACGCCGGCGGCGAAAGCGAUUCUCUGGCCUAUUACUGACACCCAGUGUGCGAAAGCUAGGGGAGCAAACGGGAUUAGAUACCCCAGUAGUCCUAGCCGUAAACGAUGGGCACUAAGUAGAGGGGAUUACCGACGUUCUCUCUGCCGCAGCUAACGCAUUAAGUGCCCCGCCUGGGGAGUACGGCCGCAAGGCUAAAACUCAAAAGAAUUGACGGGGGCUCGCACAAGCGGUGGAGCAUGUGGCUUAAUUCGAUGCAACGCGAAGAACCUUACCGGGGCUUGACAUGGUAGAAGUAGGAACCCGAAAGGGUAACGAACGGUAUCCAGUCCGUAACUAUCACAGGUGUUGCAUGGCUGUCGUCAGCUCGUGUCGUGAGACGUUGGGUUAAGUCCCCUAACGAGCGAAACCCUUGUUUUUAGUUACCAGCGGGUUGUGCCGGGUACUCUAGAAAGACUGCCGUCGUCAAGACGGAGGAAGGUGGGGAUGACGUCAAGUCAUCAUGGCCCUUAUGCCCCGGGCUGCACACGUGCUACAAUGGUCGGUACAAACGGAAGCGAAGCCGAGAGGUGAAGCGAAUCCAAGGGCGAAUU